UUAAGCUAAUAAGAGCGCAGGGAGGAUGCCUUGGCAUCAGGAGCCGAAGAAGGACGUGGUAAGCUGCGAAAAGCUACGGGGAUUGGCAAGCACGAUAUGAUCCGUAGAUGUCCGAAUGGAGCAAUCCGCAUGGAGUCAAGUCCAUGUAUCAUAUACUGAAUAAAUAGGUAUAUGAGGGGAACCGCCCGAACUGAAACAUCUAAGUAGGGCGAGGAAAAGAAAUCAACCGAGAUUCUGUGAGUAGUGGCGAGCGAAAGCGGAAGAGGCUAAACCGAGAGGAGCAAUCCUUUCGGGGUUUAGGACUGCAUUUAGUACAAUGAUUGUUAACCGAACAGCAUGGGAAGGCUGAUCAAAGAAGGUGAGAAUCCUGUAGGUGAAAACGAAAGUUGACGAGCAGUAUCCAAAGUACCGCGGGGCACGUGAAAUCCCGUGGGAAGAUGGGGGGACCAUCCUCCAAGCCUAAAUACUACCUGAUGACCGAUAGCGAAUAGUACUGUGAAGGAAAGGUGAAAAGCACCCCGGGAGGGGAGUGAAAGAGAACCUGAAACCCUGUGCUUACAAGCACUUAGAGCACGUCAAAGUGUGAUAAGGUACCUAUUGUAGAAUGGUCCGGCGAGUUAUUGUAUGCAGCGAGGUUAAGUAGUUCAGCUACGGAGCCGAAGUGAGAGCGAGUGUUAACAGCACGUUCAGUUGCAUGCAAUAGACCCGAAACCGGGUGACCUAUCCAUGUCCAGGAUGAAGUGAGGGUAAAACCUCAUGGAGGUCCGAACCCACUCCCGUUGAAAUGGUAGGGGAUGAGGUGUGGAUAGCGGAGAAAUUCCAAUCGAACCCGGAUAUAGCUGGUUCUCCCCGAAAUAGUUUUAGGACUAGCCUCGUGAUCAAGAUUAUCGGAGGUAAAGCACUGAAUGGCCUAGGGGUCGAGAGAUUACCGAAGCCUAUCAAACUCUGAAUGCCGAAUAAUCAUGCACGGGAGUCAGACUGUGUGAGAUAAGUUUCAUAGUCGAAAGGGAAACAGCCCAGACCUACAGCUAAGGUCCCAAAGUACGUUUAAGUGGAAAACGAUGUGAAAUUGCGUAGACAACCAGGAUGUUGGCUUAGAAGCAGCCAUACAUUAAAAGAGUGCGUAAUAGCUCACUGGUCGAGUGACUUUGCGCGGAAAAUUUAACGGGGCUAAAACGUACACCGAAGCUUAGGCUUGCAACUAUGUUGCAGGGGUAGGGGAGCGUUGAAUGAGGGGUGAAGUCGUAGCGAAAGCGACGGUGGACUUCAUUCAAGUGAGAAUGCCGGAAUGAGUAGCGAGAAUUAUGUGAGAAUCAUAAUGGCCGAAAGCCUAAGGUUUUUGGAGGAAGGUUCGUCCGCUCCAAGUAAGUCGGAAGCUAAGGUGAGGCUGAAAAGCGUAGCCGAUGCACAAACGGUUGAAAUUCCGUUACCACAGAAAGAUUUAAACUAAGGGACACUUUUGAAGAGCUGAUGCCGGGUGUUGGUUACCCCGGUCGUAAGGGAACGAAAUUAAGUAGUGAAGUCAGCGUGGAUGAAGGCGAGAAAAGCUUAGUGUAUAUCUUAUGUGUCCGUACCGCAAACCGACACAGGUAGGUAGGAAGAGGAUUCUAAGGCCAACGGGAGAAGGGUAGUUAAGGAACUCGGCAAAUUGACCCCGUAACUUCGGGAUAAGGGGCGGUGCGUAAGCACCCGCAGUGAAUAGGUCCAGGCGACUGUUUAUCAAAAACACAGCUCUCUGCUAAAUCGAAAGAUGACGUAUAGGGGGUGACACCUGCCCGGUGCUGGAAGGUUAAGAGGAGGAGUGCAAGCUCCGAAUUGAAGCCCCAGUAAACGGCGGCCGUAACUAUAACGGUCCUAAGGUAGCGAAAUUCCUUGUCGGGUAAGUUCCGACCCGCACGAAUGGUGUAACGAUCUGGACGCUGUCUCAACUGCCCACCCGGCGAAAUUGUAGUACCGGUGAAGAUGC
rnacentral:rRNA from 1 species